rnacentral:rRNA from 1 species
AACUUCUGAAUGUUGACCUCGGAUCAGGUAGGAAUACCCGCUGAACUUAAGCAUAUCAAUAAGCGGA